UAUUGGAGCGCAGACGUAUAUGCGUUAAACGUGGAUGAGCCUGUUGUCCAUUAGCGAGCAGUUUGAGAGUUCGAUCCCUCGCCCUCUCAGUCUGUUUGAACAUGUCUGUAAAACUGCAAAGCAAUUUUGCGGUGGUGGCUUGUGAUGGGUCCUCCUGGUGGGCGGCGGUGGACGGUGACUGAGGACUGGAGUGGCGUCUGGUCUGGAUGGUGGAUCGUGGUCUAGAUGGUUGCUGAGCAUGGACUGUGCUUGCAGCGGGACUGCUUGGCAUGUCAUGUUGGGGUUGUCCUUCGGGAUGUCUACCCUCAUCAAUGCUGCUAGAGACUUUGAUUAUUGGUGAUGUUGUCCUGCACGUGGCAUCUAUUGCACUUCUGUCCUUCCUGGGAGAGGGAUCCCUCACAUGUGGCUCUCUCUGAGGUUUCUACAUAUUUUUACCCUGUUAAAAGGGUUUUUUUGUAGUUUUUCCUUACUCUUGCUGAGGGUUAAGGACAGAGGAUGUCACACCCUGUUAAAGCCCUAUGAGAUGAAUUGUAAUUUGUGAAUAUGGGCUAUACAAAUAAAUUUGAUUGAUUGAU